UACGAAGGGGGCUAGCGUUGCUCGGAAUGACUGGGCGUAAAGGGCGCGUAGGCGGAUGGCUUUGUCGGGCGUGAAAUUCCAGGGCUUAACCUUGGGGCUGCGUUCGAGACGGGUUGUCUUGAGUGGGGAAGAGGGUCGUGGAAUUCCCAGUGUAGAGGUGAAAUUCGUAGAUAUUCGGAAGAACACCAGUGGCGAAGGCGACUUACUGGACACAUAUUGACGCUGAGGUGCGAAAGCGUGGGGAGCAAACAGG
rnacentral:rRNA from 1 species